rnacentral:rRNA from 1 species
GAAGACCAAGGGUUCCUGUCCAACGUUAAUCGGGGCAGGGUAAGUCGACCCCUAAGGCGAGGCCGAAAGGCGUAGUCGAUGGGAAACGGGUUAAUAUUCCCGUACUUCUUACAAUUGCGAUGGGGGGGACGGAGAAGGCUAGGUGGGCCUGGCGACGGUUGUCCAGGUUCAAGUGCGUAGGCUUAAGAGUUAGGUAAAUCCGGCUCUUUUU